rnacentral:lncRNA from 1 species
UCCGUAAGUUGAUAUACUUCUUAGACUAUGAUUAUGCUGUGAACUAUUUUCUAGUAAUUGACUACUGAUAUCAAGCAGUUCUAAUUGGUGAAAAUUAAUGGGGUUAAUUGUCAGAUGUUUACAAACUACUUGUUUCCUCGUCAAAUAAUUCCUGCACUCUUAAAUGGAAUAUAACUAGGUUAUACAUCUUGACAUCUGUAUCUGUAAUUUGUACUUCAGUUGAUUAGUCAAUAAGAGGUGUGAUUCUUCUGGAAUGACUAAAUUAUACUUUCGGUAUGCUUUCUGAGCAUAGGUCUGUAGCAAUUAGAUAACUAUAGAUUGUAGAAAGUGGAUGUAUUCCCCUUAGAUACGUUGAUUAUCUGGUUGUUUCGUUGCAGUAAGAAUGAGUAUAAGUUAUGAAAAUGGUCCCCUUAGAUACGUUGAUUAGCUGGUUGUUUCAUUGCAGUAAGAAUGAGUAUAAGUUAUGAAAAUGGGAACAUUUUCCAGAGCAAUUCCCACUCAUCGCACAAUGAGCAUAAAUUAUAAAAAGUAAAAUUAUAUUGGACAAUAUGUAUCCAUGCAUGAGGAAGCAUAUUUCACGUUUGUGAGAGGUCCGCUAAUUCUCGACUUAUUGAUCUCACUAGAAGUCUGGAACAGUGUCUUUUCAUCUUUCUGGACUCAGAAAUUGGAGUGAUUUAGUCUGUCAAUAAUGCUCUGAAUUAAUUCAGAUUCCAUAUUUCUAAAAUCAUUGCCUUCAUAUCUUGUUUAUAAGUGUUUGUAGUAACUUUUUGAUUUUUUAUAACUAGGUAU